CUGAAAGGCCAGGAGAAUUUUACUUGGUUUGUAUCGUUCAGAGUGGUUCCUGUGGGCUAUACAGUUGGGCAGCCACCUAGAUUCUAGCAGUUUUAGUAAGUGCUUUCUUGAUUUUAUUCAAAUGUCUCAGUAUUCCCCAACCACCCAACCAGGCUCUCAUGUUGACUUUCAGCCAUUAUGACAUGUUAUCGUCAAUCAUCAGGUCCUGUUAGCAAGAGGGCCUAUGUCAUGGCCGCCUGUCUUCAUAUAUAAAGGGAGUAUGAGUGGGCUGCUUUGGACAAAUGGACUUGGAGUGAGGGAGGGGGAACCAAAAGAGGCUGCUGUUACAGCAAGAACCCCACUCCUGGCCAGAGUUGGGGGAUGUGAGAAGAUGGUGAAAUCCCUUAGAUGUAAGUGUUCAACAUGCCAUCUGAAGGAUUUACCAAAGAGACAAAAAGCAAAGAAGUUAUGCCAGAACAGGAACAGGAAGACAAGCACUCCCUCCUUCCCCCCAAGAAACCAGCUCUUCCCCCACUUCCCCACCAAUCCUGCAAAGAACUAGAUUUUCUGUGUUCAUCACUUGUCUUCUUGAUGCUGGAGAGCCUCUUUCUAAUCUUGCGCAUUCAGAAGAGAGGUUGACAUAGCCCUUGGACCUACCUUUUUGAAGUCAGCAGCAAAUGUCAGUGCUCUGGUUGAAGCCGCUGCUUGAAUCCAUGUUUUUCCACAUCGUGUUUUCUUCCAUGGCCAGUGAAAAGAAAAACCUCUUUUGGUGCAGGCCCAAGACCACCAUAAUCAUCAUUGAUUUUUCCUCUCUGCCUCAGGUCUCUAAAUAAAAUUCCUCUCCUUUCACUGACAAA
rnacentral:lncRNA from 1 species